rnacentral:sRNA from 1 species
AGAAGGGCAAAAAAUG